CUUCUAAGAAGAGAGAAGACAUCCAUUGCUGGAGCUCGAGAGGUAUACAAGGGCACCAAAAGAGGAGAUUCCGGGACUGAGGGUCUUGCCAAGCUUUUAUAUAAAUGGCGUUUAUGAGAGGAGAGCCUUUGGUGUCGAAGCUCGCAAUACUGGCGAGGUACGGAAUUCUUCCGGGGGCCAUGGUGGCUGCUUUGAUCUACUCCCCGCCACAGGAGUCUAACAAGAAGGUUGUCUCCACUUCCAAGUAGAACGUCUUCUGUUCAAGAAAAUUUCAGCCACUUGGUGAUGCAUGUGCUGAACGUGUGGAGAUCUACAAGAUUGCUAAGGCUUGCAAUAAUUCUUCUCACUAGAUUCCAGGUUUUGUUUAUCCUAAAUGUCCAUAGAAAGAUUCCUAGUCUUUAAUUCCUGGACUUGAUUUUUCUUUGAAUAAUAUCAAGUAUGUUCUGUUCUUGCAUCAUGAACAAAUGUGAGCCGGUUUUUGAUCUUUUGAUAUUAGAUUUAAAAAAAGUGGUGAAUUUUCAAACUCUGCUGUUAUUCAGAAUAAAUGCAUUGAGUUCCUUCCUUUU